rnacentral:rRNA from 1 species
AUUGAACGCUGGCGGCAUGCCUAACACAUGCAAGUCGAACGGCAGCACAGGAGCUUGCACCUCGUGGCGAGUGGCGAACGGGGGAGUAAUACAACGGCACAUGUCCUGUAGUGGGGGAGAGGCCGGCGAAAGCCGGAUUAAUACCGCAUACGAUCUACGGAUGAAAGCGGGGGAACUUCGGGCCUCGCGCUAUAGGGUUGGCCGAUGGCUGAUUAGCUAGUUGGGGGGGUAAAGGCCAACCAAGGCGACGAUCAGUAGCUGGUCUGAGAGGACGACCAGCCACACUGGGACUGAGACACGGCCCAGACUCCUACGGGAGGCAGCAGUGGGGAAUUUUGGACAAUGGGCGAAAGCCUGCUCCAGGAAUGCCGGGUGUGUUAAAGAAGGCUUCUGGUUGUAAAGAACUUUUGUCCGGAAAAAAAUCGCUGGGGCUAAAACGGUCGCGGGAUGACGGUACCGGAAAAAUAAACAACGGGUAACUACGUG